rnacentral:sRNA from 1 species
ACCUAUUCUCCGCUGAGGGGGAUGAGAAGCCCCGACCGGGGUUCGACAAAACGGCCCCGCCGUUUUGCAUGGCCGCAGGCCACCCGCAGGGCGAGCGCAGCGAGUGAAUCCCCCUCUCACCGCCA